rnacentral:rRNA from 1 species
UAAAGAUUCAUCGCUGAUAGAUAGGCAUGCGUUCCAUUAGGCAGUUGGCGGGGUAACGGCCCACCAAACCGACGAUGGAUAGGGGUUCUGAGAGGAAGGUCCCCCACAUUGGUACUGAGACACGGACCAAACUCCUACGGGAGGCAGCAGUGAGGAAUAUUGGUCAAUGGGCGUAAGCCUGAACCAGCCAAGUCGCGUGAGGGAUGAAGGUUCUAUGGAUCGUAAACCUCUUUUAUAAGGGAAUAAAGUGCGGGACGUGUCCCGUUUUGUAUGUACCUUAUGAAUAAGGAUCGGCUAACUCCGUGCCAGCAGCCGCGGUAAUACGGAGGAUCCGAGCGUUAUCCGGAUUUAUUGGGUUUAAAGGGUGCGUAGGCGGCCUUUUAAGUCAGCGGUGAAAGUCUGUGGCUCAACCAUAGAAUUGCCGUUGAAACUGGGAGGCUUGAGUAUGUUUGAGGCAGGCGGAAUGCGUGGUGUAGCGGUGAAAUGCUUAGAUAUCACGCAGAACCCCGAUUGCGAAGGCAGCCUGCCAAGCCAUGACUGACGCUGAUGCACGAAAGCGUGGGGAUCAAACAGGAUUAGAUACCCUGGUAGUCCACGCAGU